GGCUAGUCUGAGUGCAGUGGUGUUUACAACUAAUUGAUCACAACCAGUUACAGAUUUCUUUGUUCCUUCUCCACUCCCACUGCUUCACUUGACUAGCCUUAA
ensembl:misc_RNA Y_RNA Y RNA